GCAGGGCAUCUGCCUUCCUGCAUAAAUGGGGGAAGAGGCAGAGUUGCAGCAUGUGGGCUUCUGGGGUUCAUCCAGUCCCACCCUACCCUCUUUGGCCAAUCUACUCACCUGUCCUUUGUCAUCGUCCCCAGGGUGGCAACUAUGGCUGGGGCUGCUGUGGUUACUGCCACGAUCGGUCCUGGGGGCACUGCAGCAGCCACUGAGGAAGAGACCACUAUGGUGGCCGUGGGAGAGCCUGCCUUGCUUGGUGCUAUGGUAGCCACGGCAGGACUGAUGGUCACUUCUGAAGGUGCGGGGCAGGCAGGGGCUAACACGGUACUGUCAGGACACUCAGCCCUGUGUGGCAAAUAGGCUCCAGUUAUGGGUGCCCCUACUUCACUGCUGCCUAUUUCAGAUACCCAACAACCAGCAAAGGGCCUCCAAGUGAUACGCACAGCUCCUAUCUGCUUAUCUCUUUUGUGGCAUGACUACAGCUGGCUUUGUAGCCCUGAGUCCCAGACAGUGGGACAAACUACAUGAUGAUCAUGACCUCAAUCCUUCCUAUAAGCAGCACUCAAAUCCUGACAGCUGUGGAGCUUCAUUUACUGAUGGCCCCAAUGUUGCUGCUUAAAUUUAACUUCACCCUUACGCUAUCUAAAGGGUCCCUGAUGACCAGGCAUGGUGGGCCAUGCCUUUAUCGUGUACUUAGGAGACAUAGGUAGGCAGGUCACUGAGUUUGAGUCCAUCCUGACCUCCAUAGAGAGUUCCAGGCCAGCCAGGGCUAUAAAGUGAGACCUGUGUUUGCAAAAAAAGUGAGGUGAGGAGGAGGGAUUAUAUAAGGACUGAGUGUCUUCAUACCCAAAGCUAGCCUAGACUAACCACAAGUAACAGAUGGAUCCUGCAGAACAAAGAUACCUGGCUCUGUCCCAGGGAGGGGUUCUCAGAUGAGAUGCAGGACAAGCAGGGAGGGAGGGAGUUGUAGAGGCUGAAUAAACUUGGCAGUGGUUCAACUAUCUAGCAGGUUUUGAAAAUAGCUUUGUAAAGGAUUUACUUUGUCUUUUUGCAGCAGGGUUAAAGUACUUCUCUAGGAAGGAUUUAGAAAAAGAGGAUGAAGGUCUCUAAAGGUAGGCUGUUAGUUGGAUGUGGUGAUCUUCCUCGGUAAUCUGAUCACUAAAGAGAUGGAGGUGGGACAGUUGUGAGUUGAGACCACCCUCCACAACACAGCAAAACUCACAAACAAGCCUGUGUACUCUCAACCCAAGGAACUCCAGUCUAGGCUUUUCCUCUUAGUUAAUUUUAUCACAUCUGAAUCAGUAGCCAUGUGAACCCUUCUCCAAGUCUUGGCUCUACAUUUUUGCUUUUCUACAAAUCUUUUAGAUAUAUAGUGGUGUUUGCUUUAGGGGCGAUAUCCUGCCUAGGGUUCCUAGAACACAAGAGCCAGGGCCUCAAUGAGCUUUGGACAUGAGCAGCCAGACGCUAUGGGUACAGAGUAUGAAACUUUGAGUCCCAGCUGCAAACAGCAGUUCUCAACUGUGGGCUGUGGCUCUUUACAGUUAUGUUCAUCACAGUACCAAAGUUCUAGUUGUGAAGUAGCAACAAAAAUGAUUUAUGACUGGGAUCACCACAGCAUGUGAGACUGUAUUAAAGGGUCACACACUAGGAAGGUUGGGAACCACUGGGUUAUACCAACCAUGGAUUCCAGCUGCUUAAUCUUCCCGCUUAGCUGAGGGAAACCCCUUAAGUUCCAAUAUCACAGAGGACCCUCAAGAAGCACACACGUGGGCAGGGCCUACCCUGUGUGUGAGGAGGAGGAGGAGGCAGGGCUGGUAGGACCCAGAGCCUGAAUGCAUGAUGGUGAACUUGUGCUAGGCAGUCUGUCUGGUGCCCACUGUGUCAAGAACAAGCUGGUGUCAGGUACAUCCCAGACUUGGAAGUGUAGGCAGAGACAAGGCCAGAAACCCCAUAGGUGAUACUCAUUUAAGAGUAGAUGCAGAAUCCAAAACAAAACCCCCACAUGGGCCUAAGGUCAAGAGCCUUGUGAGAUUAGUACCUUGUCUCCUGGUAGGGUCCAGCCCUGAGACUUCCUCUACUGUACCCUGAACUUAGGUGGAGAUCCUGCCUCAGGGCCUUUGUAUGGGAAGCCAUUUCCAGUAUCCUGUACCCACAGACAACUCCUUAUGCUCCUGAGCCUCACCACCUGCUCUCCCACCGCUGAAUGCCAGGAGGCUGAGCUCCCUGGGGAACACAGAGAUCUAGCUUUGUGGAGUACCCCUGACUCACUGGGUAGCUCCUUGACACCUUGGUCCUAUAUUCUCAUCUUGACCACUCAAAAUAGAAGCACUUGCUGGAGUGGCUGGCCUCUUGGCAAGGAUGAUGACAACAUACCUGAUUCCUUCCCUAGGGACGGCCUUCAGACACUGCAGGGGAACUGUGGCUUGACCACCUGCGAGCUGCUUCUACUUCCCAAUCAGGGCUCAGACUACACCUAAUCCCUAACCCUGAGAUGCAUUUUGUCCUACUGUGCGAGCGUGCAGGGCACCUGACUGUAAUUCACAAGUGCCCUACAACAAAUGGCACAGCACAAAGUGGGGUAACAGGAGAGGGCUGGCCAGAGUCCUAAGCUUGCCCUACAGAAAGUUAAGGGCAACAGGCCUUUCCUCCACUGUCUGGGACAACCGUAGACACCAAGGAGGUUAGCCAGUCCCAGAGCCUGAAAACCAGGUAUUCUCUGUAACUGGCACCUGUAGUGGAGACUGUCAUUCCAAGUUUCUGGGGAGCUCUUGGGACAUCCAGGUUCUAUCUUCUACUCUGAAACAUUUAAAACAGAAAAUAUACACUGUUGUCU
rnacentral:lncRNA from 1 species